UGCAAGUCGAACGGCAGCGCGGGGCAACCUGGCGGCGAGUGGCGAACGGGUGAGUAAUAUAUCGGAACAUACCCUAGAGUGGGGGAUAACGUAGCGAAAGUUACGCUAAUACCGCAUACGCACUAAGGUGGAAAGUGGGGGAUCGCAAGACCUCAUGCUCAUGGAGUGGCCGAUAUCUGAUUAGCUAGUUGGUGAGGUAAAGGCUCACCAAGGCGACGAUCAGUAGCUGGUCUGAGAGGACGACCAGCCACACUGGAACUGAGACACGGUCCAGACUCCUACGGGAGGCAGCAGUGGGGAAUUUUGGACAAUGGGGGCAACCCUGAUCCAGCAAUGCCGCGUGAGUGAAGAAGGCCUUCGGGUUGUAAAGCUCUUUUGUCAGGGAAGAAACGGUGGUCUCUAAUAUAGACUGCUAAUGACGGUACCUGAAGAAUAAGCACCGGCUAACUACGUGCCAGCAGCCGCGGUAAUACGUAGGGUGCAAGCGUUAAUCGGAAUUACUGGGCGUAAAGCGUGCGCAGGCGGUUUUGUAAGACGGAUGUGAAAUCCCCGGGCUUAACCUGGGAACUGCAUUCGUGACUGCAAGGCUAGAGUAUGGCAGAGGGGGGUAGAAUUCCACGUGUAGCAGUGAAAUGCGUAGAGAUGUGGAGGAAUACCGAUGGCGAAGGCAGCCCCCUGGGCCAAUACUGACGCUCAUGCACGAAAGCGUGGGGAGCAAACUAGGAUUAGAUACCCUGGUAGUCCUCGCCCUAAACGAUGUCAACUAGUUGUUGGGGAUUCAUUUCCUUAGUAACGAAGCUAACGCGUGAAGU
rnacentral:rRNA from 1 species